GCUAGGUUGGUUUGCACCCACCUGUAAUCCCAGCAACUUGGGAGGCUGAGGCAGGAGAAUCACAAGUUCAAGGCCAGUCUCAGCAACUUAGUGAGGCCCUGUCUCAA
rnacentral:sRNA from 1 species